rnacentral:rRNA from 1 species
GAUGAACGCUAGCGGCAGGCUUAACACAUGCAAGUCGAGGGGGUAUGGCAGCAAUGCCAGAGACCGGCGCACGGGUGCGUAACGCGCAUGCAAUCUGCCUUUCACAAAGGGAUAGCCCAGAGAAAUUUGGAUUAAUACCUUAUAGUAUAUAGAUGUGGCAUCACAAUUAUAUUAAAGAUUUAUCGGUGAAAGAUGAGCAUGCGUCCCAUUAGCUAGUUGGUAAGGUAACGGCUUACCAAGGCUACGAUGGGGUAGGGGUCCUGAGAGGGAGACUCCCCCANACUGGUACUGAGACACGGGACCCAAACUCCUACGGGAGGCAGCAGUGGGGAAUAUUGGACAAGUGGGCGCAAGCCUGAUCCAGCCAUGCCGCGUGAG